GCCCUGAUGGCGCAGUGGUUACCGCGUAAGUUUGGAGAACUUAUUUCCGCAAGGAUUCGCAGGUUCAAAUCCUGCUCAGGGCG
rnacentral:tRNA from 1 species